GGGAUUCUCCAGCCCCAGCCUCCUGAGUAGCUGGGACUUCAGGCACCUGUCACCACGCCCAGGGACAGUUACUUGAUUCUUAAUAGUCCAGUCAUAAUGAGACAGGAUACUGCAUAAGCCAAAGACCACACAAAGUAUCAAUGUUAAGUGUCAAGAGGGUGUGGAGGAAGUGGGUUACAACCACUUUGUCUCCCAACUGUUGUAUGUUUUGCCUUUAAAUUUUUUUUUUAAAGUACAUUAAACUGUAAUGUAUUCAGAUGUGGCUGAAACAACGACAAAACAUUAGUUUUCUUUAAAUAUGCAUGACUUUUAAGCUUUUUCCCUUUCCCAGUGACUUGCUUCUCCACUAAGCUCUUUUUUUCUCUUUUUUUUUCCCUCAAAUAUUAUUGUUUCAUGUCACUGUGACAAGUUUAGUCUACUGGAAAUUCCUAUGUUCUCUGUAAUUUAGGUUUUAAGCAACAUAUGAUUUAUCUUGUUAUUUUAAAAAAACUCUCUGCCUUCCCUAAGUGGGUGACUCUGGCAUCCUUAAUAUUCUUCUAUAGAAAUUACGAUGAAAGAACAGAUAAGCCUAAGUAAAUCUAGCGUGUGGAGCUCUUUAAAAUGUGAAGAUUGUCAACUGGUUAAAAGUAAAACUUGGUUUUGUCCUAAAUAUCCUUGCUGGGCCUAUUAUGCAUUGAAAAAGGGGCCACAGCCCAUUUGCAAGGCUUCUGAAUGAACUCCAUUCAUUCUGUACUUGGAAAUGUCUCUUCAGCCACAAAAAGAAACAAUAGUUAUAACCUAAUUUCUUUGGCGCCAAUAUCAGCAGAAGAAGAGCAAAGAGACCAUUAUGAAAACUCUAGUAAGUUCUCUUGGUGAUUAUGUAAUUCUGUAUUCAUUGAUCAUAUUUCUGUAUUUAAAUAAGUACAUUUUUAAAAACAUUUUAAAGUGGAUCGGUAAUGCUGUAAUAUCACAUUUCAUGUAUUAUGCAACGUUUUUAAAAUGGAGUACUCUAAAGUAAUUUGCUUCUUACGGUUACCAAAGUUUAAAAAAUACUCUAACAUGCACUCCGAGAUUUUAAGAGGAAAGCAUUUGUGCUUUUCAUCACUAUAUUUUGAAACCUGAGAGUGCAAAACCAGUUUUCUUAGGUAAACCCCUUAGUCAGUUUCCACAUUUACUUGUAAAAGUCAGUGGAGGGCAUACAUCUGGAAGUAGUAAUGGUGGUACACAACGUGUGUUAAUAUCAUUUCCAAGGGGUAUCUAGAGUGAACUUUCUUAAGCACAGAUCGGAUCUGAGCAUGCCGCUCCUUUCUUAAAACCUUUUGUUGAUUUUCCAUUUCCCUAGAAGGAAAGCCCACUGGAGCAUGGGCCUUGCGAAGUGCUCUUUCUGGCUUCUGCCUACCUGCCUUUGCAGCUUCACCCCUACCAUCUUCCCUGAAUGAACUUUUGUCGGUGGCCUCGCUCUUUCUUCCCAUGGGAUGUUGUUUCUGCAUGUUCUUGCAGGGAAUUCUCUUUCUCCCAACCCUGUUUCAUUCCUUUAAUCUGUACAACUCUUUCUUAUCCUAAAGUCUUUACCUUAAGGUUGCCUUUUCAAGAAGACUUUUAAUUGUAUUAACUAAUUAAUUAAUAAAUAGUCUGAUGUAUUUGGAGCUGAGUUUCUAUGGGGAUUAGUUGCUGGAGGGUAGUUUAGAGCCAGAUUGUGAAGGACUUUCUAAACUGUGCUUUCAAGGUUUUGAACAGGAAAAUGCUGUAGGCUCUCUGUUUUUUAAAAGUUUGGAGGAUGGCUUGUGUCUUAAAAGAAUAUGUAACAUAACCAUUUAAUUUGUGAGUAGAGGACUAAGGAAACCACUGUAACCUUUUUCUCUCUGCAAUAAUCCCAUCUUCAGCCUCUCAAGCACUGUGAACAAUCACUUUCUCUGGCUGUCUUCUUGGAGCCCCUGCUAAUUCAUUAUUGAAAAAUACCUGCGGCCUGCAUUUGGCCUUAUGUUGUCAUUUACUUGGUACUUCCUAAGGGUGGCUACUCCAAUGUAGCUGUAGUAUAUGUACUGAAGGAAGAUCCUCUCAUACUGCCACAGCCAACAGAUAAAGUUGUGAAUCUUUUUUGGGAGAAGCCGUUAAGGACAGGUCUGUGAAAUGGAAGGAUCUCUGGAUCACUACAAAGUCUGGCUCAGUGACUAUGGCUUUGCAAACACUAAACAUUCCUAUCUCAAGUCCUGUAGAUGGCUUGAAAUAGCAUACAUAAACAUGCCUUAUAAACAUCUUCAGUCUUUAUCAACUCUUUGGAGAUUCAGCCAUUCUUUUUUGUACUUUAAGGAAUUAAAUAAUUUUAUAAUGUGGUAUAAAUCUGAGCAUGGCAGAUGGUAGAAGAAAUUUUGUCAUAUAUUUUUAAAGAAAUAAAAAUGUAUUAUGUUUUAAAAUUCCUUUAACUGUUUUUCUUACAAAGCUCCCAACAACGUAGUUACCAAGUAAACUAUCUCAGAUGUGAUUUUUCAGUCCUUGCUAAUCUGUUUAUAAAAUCUUUUGCUAUUUUA